GUAGGUGGCAAGCGUUGUCCGGAAUUAUUGGGCGUAAAGCGCGCGCAGGCGGUUCUUUAAGUCUGAUGUGAAAGCCCACGGCUCAACCGUGGAGGGUCAUUGGAAACUGGAGAGCUUGAGUACAGAAGAGGAAAGCGGAAUUCCACGUGUAGCGGUGAAAUGCGUAGAGAUGUGGAGGAACACCAGUGGCGAAGGCGGCUUUCUGGUCUGUAACUGACGCUGAGGCGCGAAAGCGUGGGGAGCAAACAGGAUUAGAUACCCUGGUAGUCCACGCCGUAAACGAUGAGUGCUAAGUGUUAGGGGGGUUUCCGCCCCCCUUAGUGCUGCAGCUAACGCAUUAAGCACUCCGCCUGGGAGUACGGCCGCAAGGCUG
rnacentral:rRNA from 1 species